rnacentral:lncRNA from 1 species
UUCUUUUAGAAUAUUUGAUCAAUAUGCUCUUUUUUUAGAAUUUUUGAUCAACAUGUUCUAUUUUAAAAAAAAUUCUAAAAACUACUAUUUUAGGAAAGGCAUCAUUUUUGUAGAAAAAUAUUGUUGAUUUGGUAUUUUGAUUUAGAUAUUAGGAUUACAAGAGUUUUUGUUGAUAGAUGUGCGUUUUUUUUUUAGAAUUUUGAUCAUUAGAUUGUAUUUUUUAAAUAAAUUUUCUAAAAACUGUAUUUUAGGAAAGUUAUCAUUUUUGUAGAGAAAUAUUGUAGAUUUUGGAUUGUAAUUUAGAAAUUAGGAUAACAAGAGUUUUUGUUGAUAGAUGGACAUUCUUUUAGA